rnacentral:rRNA from 1 species
GAUGACGCUGGCGGCGUGCCUAAUACAUGCAAGUCGAGCGAGUGGCGGACGGGUGAGUAAUGUCUGGGAAACUGCCCGAUGGAGGGGGAUAACUACUGGAAACGGUAGCUAAUACCGCAUACCAUCGGAUGUGCCCAGAUGGGAUUAGCUUGUAGGUGAGGUAACGGCUGACCUAGGCGACGAUACCUAGCUGGUCUGAGAGGAUGAACAGGCAAAAUGGAACUGCGACACGGUCCAGACGCCUACGGGAGGCAGCAGUGGGGAAUAUUGCACAAUGGGCGCAAGCGUGAUGCAGCCAUGCCGCGUGUAUGAAGAAGGCCUUCGGGUUGUAAAGUACUUUCAGCGGGGAGGUGUUACCCGCAGAAGAAGAACCGGCUAACUCCGUGCCAGCAGCCGCGGUAAUUC